rnacentral:rRNA from 1 species
UGGGGAAUUUUGGACAAUGGGGGAAACCCUGAUCCAGCCAUCCCGCGUGUGCGAUGAAGGCCUUCGGGUUGUAAAGCACUUUUGGCAGGAAAGAAACGUCAUGGGUUAAUACCCCGUGAAACUGACGGUACCUGCAGAAUAAGCACCGGCUAACUACGUGCCAGCAGCCGCGGUAAUACGUAGGGUGCAAGCGUUAAUCGGAAUUACUGGGCGUAAAGCGUGCGCAGGCGGUUCGGAAAGAAAGAUGUGAAAUCCCAGAGCUCACCUUUGGAACUGCAUCUUUAACUACCGGGCUAGAGUGUGUCAGAGGGAGGUGGAAUUCCGCGUGUAGCAGUGAAAUGCGUAGAUAUGCGGAGGAACACCGAUGGCGAAGGCAGCCUCCUGGAAUAACACUGACGAUCAUGCACGAAAGCGUGGGGAGCAAACAGG